AUGAUAGGUCAUAAACUAAUCUAAACUUUAGGAAAAGAGGAACAAAAGAAGUUAACCUAUUUUCGACUACAACACACCCUAUUAUGGUUUGUUGGGAAUAGUAGGACUUUAUUGUUACAAUGAGUGUAAUGACUUUGAUGCCAAAGCUUAUAUAAGUGAAAUAAUUGAAUAAUGUGUAAAUCACUGUACCUGUUUUUAAAAUGUUCUCUGUAUUUUUAUUUCAUAUAAGAAGGGUUUUGAUUAUUUUGAAAUUUCAAAAACAAGAAUCGGCAGAGAUAUAUUUUUUAUAAAUUAAAAUAUUUUUUUCCUAUCUUUAUAAAUAUGUAAACAUGGAUACUCCAUGCUAUCCAAUCUAAGAUGACCCUACAUUCUUAAUACUGUUUCCCCAAUUCAUCUUACUUUUAUAAUGCCCAAAUUCCCCUUCUGUGUCUCUCUUAGCACCCCCACUUAAAUACCUAUUUAUUCCACCUGCCUCCCUUGUCUCUCCUCAUGCCCCAUACUUUGUGUCUUGUCCAAUGCCACUCAUCCCUUUUACCUUAUCCAAUGCCCCCAUCACCCACUAUUUUAUCUUACUCUAUGUAUCCAUUACACCCCCAUUUCUCCCAUUGCCCUCACCAACCACUUAGGUCUAUCCAUAUUCCUUUGGCUGUCACCCCAAUGCCUCUUUUUUGGUACAGCACUAUGUGUGUGCUUUUGACGGAAGGAAUUUGAAGAAAUAUUGUCUAAUUUUUAUCACUUCUACCAGCAUGUUAGGAGUAGGAGCAGGUUUCUUUAAUCUCUAUAAUGGCAUACUAGUGCCAGAGUUGGAGAGGAACAGCUUGGGAGGCCUUUCAUGUCACAGAUAACACUACAUUGUGAAAAAUUGCACAUUUGUUUUUAUAUACCACACUACCUGGGGUAGCCCUUAUAAAAUGUAUAUGAGGUAUGUCGCAAAUGUUUUAUUCUUUUUGUCCUCGUUCUAAGAUUGUAAUAUCAAAAUAUGAUCACUGACUUUCUAU